rnacentral:rRNA from 1 species
AUACGUAGGGAGCGAGCGUUGUCCGGAAUUACUGGGUGUAAAGGGAGCGUAGGCGGGAGUGCAAGUCAGAUGUGAAAUACAUGGGCUCAACCCAUGGGCUGCAUUUGAAACUGCAUUUCUUGAGUGAAGUAGAGGAAAGCGGAAUUCCUGGUGUAGCGGUGAAAUGCGUAGAUAUCAGGAGGAACACCGGUGGCGAAGGCGGCUUACUGGGCUUUUACUGACGCUGAGGCUCGAAAGCGUGGGGAGCAAACAGGAUUAGAUACCCUGGUAGUCCACGCUGUAAACGAUGAUUACUAGGUGUGGGGGGACUGACCCCUUCCGUGCCGCAGUUAACACAAUAAGUAAUCCACCUGGGGAGUACGGCCGCAAGGUUGAAACUCAAAUGAAUUGACGGGG